ACAAAAAGAUGUAGAUUAAGAUGAGAACAAUUUAUAUAAAUUGUGAGAUCAACGGUGUGUGAUAACGGAGAUCCGUGGUUGUCGGUUGACUGUUCAAGUGGCCUCGGUUUGCUUGGUUAACUAUCAAAUCAACAUCAUCAUUUUCUCAAUUGUUGUUUUGUCAUCGUUGUCAAGGAGGAGGGAAACAGAUGAAUGUUAAUGAUAAUUGAAAUUAAGAUGAUGAUAUAAAGUUCUCUCUCAGGCCUGGAAAACUUGAUUUCUUUUCUUUCUCUUGGUGAAAAGGAGCAACGGCAGAGAAAAAAGUGAUCUUCCUUUUUCUUUCCUGGAAACACCUUCGUUCUUAGUACCUGAUGAGCAGAUCACCUUUCAAGUUACUUUCAUUUCUUGUUAAUCAUCAAUUAUCUCAACGAUUAUAAACAAACAAACAAACAAACGCUUCACAAUGAUUGACCUGUACCUCGCAUUUAACACACAACAACAGUUACACUUGACCUUAGAAUUGGGUUUGUUUUUUAUUUCUCCCUUGAUCAUUGGUACUGAUUCACUUUGGUACCAUUUUCAUUUGAUUCUACCUGAUGAUUAUCCUAUUGAGCAAAGAGCUGAAAGAAGAUAAAAUUGAAAAGAUAAAGAGUGUUUGGUCUUCCAUUGAGAUGACUUAAGUGUGUCCAACGAAUGGCCUGACCUGAUAGAGAAUCAAAGAGGAAAAAACAACAAGAUGUUUACCUGGUGUUUAAGCGGAAGAAGUUGAAGAUCUUCUUUCCAUCUUAUUUACUUUAUCAUCUUCUACCUUGUUGAAGGUGUUUCUCUUCAUUGAUCAUCGCCAUCAUCAUCAUCAUCUUUUUUACUUCCUAUUGAGAUGUUCACUCUACUGGUGUCAAUGUACUGGGUAAAAGUAAACUAACCUGUCUUAAUAUUAAUCUUUUUUUGCCAAAACAAGAUUGACCUUCGUUAAGCCUGUGUAGCUUUAAUUACUUGAUGUAAUUGUCGCUAUUGAUCAGAAAUCAUCAGCUAAUCAGGAAAAUUCAUUGAUCAUAACAUCGGAUCACCAUUCAGACAUAAACAACUUACAUCAAGCCUUAAAAAUAGUCUACCAAGUAGACCAAUUUAUUAAUUACUUUCUUUUUUUCCUUAAAACCAGAACAAAAUUAGAAAGUAAAUUAUUUAUUUUGUUUUAUUGUCUUUCCAUGUUAAUUGUUCAUCAAACUAAUCUGGUUAUUCAAGUUCCUGUCCUGGUUUUUUUUUCUAAUCAUCAGUUUUAUCCCCAUUGGAUCAGAAUUCAUUUCACUAAUCAUGAACCUGUUGGAUGAAUUUUAAUUGUUUUCAUGGUUGAAAGAAGUCACCACCAUCAUAAGAAUCAAAUAACAGUCUGAUUGUUGACGAAUAAAAAUGUUAACAGUUAACAAUUUGAUUCCAAAAAUAACUGGACCUUUGUUCAUGAAACCGAAAAUUGAAUAAACUUUCACAAUGAACAUUUAUCAAUUAAUUGUGAUAUUGUAAAUUUGUUGUAUAAAAAAAAAGGAGAACCAAUUGAAAUGCUUUAUUUAAAUUGAAUUUGUUUUCUUUAUAUAUACCAAUUGACUAACUCUAAACUAU